rnacentral:rRNA from 1 species
GACGAACGCUGGCGGCGUGCCUAAUACAUGCAAGUAGAACGCAGUUGCGAACGGGUGAGUAAAGCGUAGGUAACUGCCUCAUAGCGGGGGAUAACUAUUGGGAACGAUUGCUAAUACCGCAUACUGUGGGAUGGACCUGCGUUGUUUUAGGUAGUUGGUGGGGUAAAGGCUCACCAAGGCGACGAUCCAUAGCCGACCUGAGAGGGUGGACGGCCCAACCGGGACUGGUAAACGGCCCAAGAUUCUUAGGGGUGGAACAGUAGGGGAACAUCGGCAAUGGGCCGAAGUCUGAACGAGCAACGCCGCGGGAGGUAAGAAGGGUUUCGGGUCGGAAAGCCCUGUUGUUCGAGAAGCGGUAACUACAGAGAAAGGGACGGCUAACUACGUGCCAGCAGCCGCGGUAAUAC